AGUGGAAUUGCUGGGUCAUACAGGAAGUCUGUAUUUAACAUUUUAAGAAACUAGCAAACUGUUUUCCAAAGUGACUGCCCCAUUUUACAUUCCCAUCAGCAGU
rnacentral:pre_miRNA from 2 species